UCGCCAUGGAACUACGAGCCCCCCCCUUAAAACCAAAAGGACUUGACGGUGUCCAACCCACCUAGAGGAGCCUGUUCUAUAAUCGACACUCCACGAUAUACCUUACCAUUUCUAGCAUACUCAGUUUGUAUACCUCCGUCGCAAGCUUACCAUGUGAACGUCACCAGUGAGCUAAAAGAUUCUUUCCCACCCACACGUCAGGUCAAGGUGCAACUAACGAAAUGGACAGCAAUGGGCUACAAUUUCUACAAUAGAACACACGAAAACUAAAUGAAACACGAUCACAAAGGCGGAUUUAGAAGUAAAAAGAAAUCAAAAAGUUCUUUUUAACUAGGCCCUUGGACGCGUACACACUGCCCGUCACCCUCCUCAACCCCUAGAAGAGGCAAGUCGUAACAUGGUAAGUGUACUGGAAAGUGCACUUGGAUAUCAAAAUGUUACUUAAUAAAAGUACCUCUCACACGAGAUAAUGUUAACUUACCUUAACCAUUUUGAGCCUAAAUCUAAGCCUUCCCCCCC
rnacentral:rRNA from 1 species